CAGAUAACAAGGAGAGGGACUCCGAGGAGGAGGAAUUGCCUCCUGAUGAUCUGGCGCCAGGGGAGCAGCGGGAGAUGUCGGAGCAGAGCGGCAUGUUCGUGCUCCGGCCCGAGAGCGCCACCGCGGUCAAAGGUAAGGACGUCAGCUUCGUGGCCAAGGUGGACUCCAAGGCCAUGCUCCGGAAGCCCUCCAUGAAGUGGCUGAAGGGGAAGUGGUGCGACCUGGGCAGCAAGGCGGGCAAGCACCUGGCCUUCAAGGAGACCUACGACCGCAAC